rnacentral:rRNA from 1 species
UACGUAGGGUGCGAGCGUUGUCCGGAAUUAUUGGGCGUAAAGGGCUCGUAGGCGGUCUGUUGCGUCGGGAGUGAAAACUCAGGGCUUAACCCUGAGCCUGCUUCCGAUACGGGCAGACUAGAGGUAUGCAGGGAGACGGAAGUUCCUGGUGAGCGGUGAAAUGCGCAGGAUAUCAGGAGGAACACCGGUGGCGAAGGCGGUUCUCUGGGCAUUACCUGACGCUGAGGAGCGAAAGUGUGGGAGCGAACAGG